GUACACUCCUACGGGAGGCAGCAGUGGGGAAUAUUGGACAAUGGGCGCAAGCCUGAUCCAGCCAUGCCGCGUGAGUGAUGAAGGCCCUAGGGUUGUAAAGCUCUUUCACCGGUGAAGAUAAUGACGGUAACCGGAGAAGAAGCCCCGGCUAACUUCGUGCCAGCAGCCGCGGUAAUACGAAGGGGGCUAGCGUUGUUCGGGUUUACUGGGCGUAAAGCGCACGUAGGCGGACUAUUAAGUCAGGGGUGAAAUCCCGGGGCUCAACCCCGGAACUGCCUUUGAUACUGGUAGUCUUGAGUUCGAGAGAGGUGAGUGGAAUUCCGAGUGUAGAGGUGAAAUUCGUAGAUAUUCGGAGGAACACCAGUGGCGAAGGCGGCUCACUGGCUCGAUACUGACGCUGAGGUGCGAAAGCGUGGGGAGCAAACAGGAUUAGAAACCCUGGUAGUCCC
rnacentral:rRNA from 1 species